GGGGGGGGGCUAUACUGCAAGUAGAACGCUGAAGAGAGGAGCUUGCUCUUCUUGGAUGAGUUGCGAACGGGUGAGUAACGCGUAGGUAACCUGCCUUGUAGCGGGGGAUAACUAUUGGAAACGAUAGCUAAUACCGCAUAACAAUGGAUGACACAUGUCAUUUAUUUGAAAGGGGCAAUUGCUCCACUACAAGAUGGACCUGCGUUGUAUUAGCUAGUAGGUGAGGUAAUGGCUCACCUAGGCGACGAUACAUAGCCGACCUGAGAGGGUGAUCGGCCACACUGGGACUGAGACACGGCCCAGACUCCUACGGGAGGCAGCAGUAGGGAAUCUUCGGCAAUGGGGGCAACCCUGACCGAGCAACGCCGCGUGAGUGAAGAAGGUUUUCGGAUCGUAAAGCUCUGUUGUAAGUCAAGAACGGGUGUGAGAGUGGAAAGUUCACACUGUGACGGUAGCUUACCAGAAAGGGACGGCUAACUACGUGCCAGCAGCCGCGGUAAUACGUAGGUCCCGAGCGUUGUCCGGAUUUAUUGGGCGUAAAGCGAGCGCAGGCGGUUUGAUAAGUCUGAAGUUAAAGGCUGUGGCUCAACCAUAGUUCGCUUUGGAAACUGUCAAACUUGAGUGCAGAAGGGGAGAGUGGAAUUCCAUGUGUAGCGGUGAAAUGCGUAGAUAUAUGGAGGAACACCGGUGGCGAAAGCGGCUCUCUGGUCUGUAACUGACGCUGAGGCUCGAAAGCGUGGGGAGCGAACAGGAUUAGAUACCCUGGUAGUCCACGCCGUAAACGAUGAGUGCUAGGUGUUGGAUCCUUUCCGGGAUUCAGUGCCGCAGCUAACGCAUUAAGCACUCCGCCCUGGGGAGUACGACCGCAAGGUUGAAACUCAAAGGAAUUGACGGGGGCCCGCACAAGCGGUGGAGCAUGUGGUUUAAUUCGAAGCAACGCGAAGAACCUUACCAGGUCUUGACAUCCCGAUGCUAUUUCUAGAGAUAGAAAGUUACUUCGGUACAUCGGUGACAGGUGGUGCAUGGUUGUCGUCAGCUCGUGUCGUGAGAUGUUGGGUUAAGUCCCGCAACGAGCGCAACCCCUAUUGUUAGUUGCCAUCAUUCAGUUGGGCACUCUAGCGAGACUGCCGGUAAUAAACCGGAGGAAGGUGGGGAUGACGUCAAAUCAUCAUGCCCCUUAUGACCUGGGCUACACACGUGCUACAAUGGUUGGUACAACGAGUUGCGAGUCGGUGACGGCGAGCUAAUCUCUUAAAGCCAAUCUCAGUUCGGAUUGUAGGCUGCAACUCGCCUACAUGAAGUCGGAAUCGCUAGUAAUCGCGGAUCAGCACGCCGCGGUGAAUACGUUCCCGGGCCUUGUACACACCGCCCGUCACACCACGAGAGUUUGUAACACCCGAAGUCGGUGAGGUAACCUUUGGAGCCAGCCGCCUAAGUGACAGGU
rnacentral:rRNA from 1 species